AGGACGAACGCUGGCGGCGUGCUUAACACAUGCAAGUCGAACGGUGACGCCCCUUCGGGGGCUGAUCAGUGGCGAACGGGUGAGUAACACGUGGGCAACCUGCCCCUAGCUCUGGGAUAACCCCGGGAAACCGGGGCUAAUACCGGAUAUGACCUCGAUGGACAUCCACUGAGGUGGAAAGUUUUUCGGCUAGGGAUGGGCCCGCGGCCUAUCAGCUUGUUGGUGAGGUAACGGCCCACCAAGGCGACGACGGGUA
rnacentral:rRNA from 1 species